GGAAUAUUGCGCAAUGGAGGAAACUCUGACGCAGUGACGCCGCGUGCAGGAAGAAGGUUUUCGGAUUGUAAACUGCUUUAGACAGGGAAGAGUAGAAGACGGUACCUGUCGAAUAAGCCACGGCUAACUACGUGCCAGCAGCCGCGGUAAUACGUAGGUGGCAAGCGUUGUCCGGAUUUACUGGGUGUAAAGGGCGUGUAGCCGGGUUGACAAGUCAGAUGUGAAAUCCUGCGGCUUAACCGCAGAACUGCAUUUGAAACUGUUGAUCUUGAGUACUGGAGAGGCAGACGGAAUUCCUAGUGUAGCGGUGAAAUGCGUAGAUAUUAGGAGGAACACCAGUGGCGAAGGCGGUCUGCUGGACAGCAACUGACGGUGAGGCGCGAAAGCGUGGGGAGCAAACAG
rnacentral:rRNA from 1 species